CGCUGCUUCCGCGUAGUCGGACCCCGAGCAUGCGCUACGGCCACCCCAUAGAUCCCGCACAGAUAUACCGAAUGGCUCAUAAAUGGAAACUACCAUGAAUUAUGCCAAACAUGUACAGGGAACAAGGAGCCUCGAGCAACUUCAUUACGGCUGCAACCUCCAUUCGUGUAGACAUGAACAGUGAGAAUAUUUUUGCCUAUACAGGUCUAUACAGUGUUUCAAGAGAGGUGAAAGAAACAGCUGAUGCACUACUUACGUAGGAAGCUGUGACUGCCCGGCCCUGCCCUUCUGAC